CCCCCCCCCCCCCCCCCCCCCCCCCCCCCCCCCCCCCCCCCCCCCCCAUAUACAGGUUUUAUUGUACAGUACUUACAAUAAUUAAUGUCAUUGUAUCUGUAUGUGCUCCAUCAUUCUUCUGAGUCAGUGAUUCCACAUACCAUAGCGGGUGAGGGCAGAGGGGAAGAGACGGAGGGAAGUGCGAGAAAUUUAUUAGGGGUAAAGUAACUUUCGGGCUACCCUGUAUAAUGUAUAUGAAUGAUCUUUACAUGUGAUUGGAGUGAGUGUUGUACCCGAGGAUGCUGCUUUGAAUCAUCUGGUAGUUCAAAAACAUUAUUAGCAAAAAAAUGAUGGUUAUAAUUACUUGUAUUCUACUGUGAUUCCGUUUCAUCUGUAUGACAAUGUCGACAUUCUGACUUUUCAGAAGGAUUCAAGAAAUAUCCUUUUAUAAAACAAAUUCAAAAUGUAUUGUUUGGUCCUUUGUUGUGCUUGGAUAACAAUUCUUUAUUUGGUUAAAUUGCAAUGUGAAGUUACAAAACAAAACACCCAUCCUUAAAUGUCAAAACACCCAUCAGUAGCUUGCUCUAAGUUACUUCCAAGCAUUUGAUUGCUCUCUGUUCACUGCUUGUCUAUGCAGACCUUUUUCAUUUAUCUUUUGAUGUCGAGUCCUCGUGUAUGUGGUCAGAUUUACUACAUCACGGAGCAGCAGGAUGUGCGACAGGGCUGUCUCAAAUGGACGUGGGUUACAUUCCCGCUCUCCCAAACCACCUGCGGAGCAAGAUAUAGAGCUUCGUAUCACAGUGGGAAAUGACUAUUUUCAUAAAGAAUCAAAAUCCCGUCGCCUGCCUUCUGUCCAUGCUCGUCUUGGUCCACCAGUUGAUGAAUUGGUCAGGGAAAAAAGUCCGUUCUCUGAAUCUAAUCUCUCACCAAAAGAACUUCAAAAUACAUUUUCCCAUUUUCACCACAGCUCAAAAUCUCAUUUGAGUCCUUCUAUUUACCAAGAACGUGUCUAUUCUCCCCCUUCCUCGCAACGACAUCGCAAUGACUAUGAUGCCAAUUUGGAUGAGCUGCAAAUGGCCAACUUCAUUCGGCAGCAGGAGGAUGAGGCGAGAGUGAGCAUCCAGCGGCAGGUUUCAGAGGCCCAGGAAGAUGGGAUGAAAGCGCGUUUACCUCUAAAUAAACGUUACUUUUCCCAAUGCAGUCCUCCAGGUAGUGGGUAUGUCGACCCACUCGAACAUUCACCAACGGAGCUACAGCAUUCAAUUUUUAUGGAUGACAGCACUGCUCAGAAAAAAAAGGAUGAAGAUUUUUUACCUUUCUUCAGGCAAGAUGAGGACCUUGACCUGGUGGUAUGUCGUAGUGUUGAACUUGCCAGCGCUGACUAUAGGAUGAAAACCUGCAAUUCGAACAUUAUCGAUUUUGAUACUGGGAUAGGUGAGACUUCAACUUGGAUCAGAAAAAAUGAAGACCAGAGCAAGGUGUGGCGAUGGUCAAGAGAAGCUUCUGUGGAGAUGCAGCUUUCCCAGAAAGAGAAAAACUAUCAGCUUGAUGAGAUUGACUUGGAAAAAGAACGUGGGCAUAAUUUGGAUUUGAAAACCUCAAGGGCACCUCUCAGAAAUGACAAUGGUGAGCAUCAACUGGAGAAUCGGCAAACUACUGUUUUGCACAGCAAUGAUAUUGACACUGGCCUAAAAGAGUUGACCCACCUCAUCUUGGCAAAAAAGCAUAACAAUUUGCCAAGCAGCCAAAUUGCACCAUCAAAUGCACAUAGAAAGUCUCCUACCUUGCCAUCUCCUCUUUCAGUUCCACAGUCUUCAGACUUCCCGUGGUAUUCUUUGAAUCGUAAUGCAAAUUACUCUCCACCAAACGUCUUUGGUAAUGAAGUCUCUCCACACCAACAACGUUAUUCUCCUGAAAAUCAAAAUUCUUCGGAGCCAUUGAUGGAUUCUUGUAUGAAUAGCAGUCCUUUAAAUUUGUGUAACAUGCCAACCCACCUUUCUACAGCACAAGGCCCAUUUGUCUCGCAUCAAGACCCAUACAAUUCAAAUGAAACUGCCAAGCGUACUUACGAUUAUUCACUGGAAGUGGAUAGAAAUGCUGUUUUGUGUUCGAACAAUCUAAUACGCAAUAGCACCAUUCGUUCUUCUGUCACCCCACCUCGCCAAUUCAAUGCCAGCAGUGAUGUUCAAGCUCAUAUGCAUGUGAACAAAAGAAUGUGGGAGGCAUUGGAUUCCAGAGAGCCUGAAAGGGUACAAUACUUGCAAGACUCGAGUCCAAGAGAAACUGAAAGCCAGAGCAGCCAGAGAUGUAGAUUUUUAGGCGCAGAAGAUGUUGAACGUGGGACAUGUAGGCUUGUGGAACGUUGGGAUCAGGUGAAGCCUGACGAUAAAGAGAGCCUACGAUAUGGAGAACUCUUACCUCUAAGAAAUCUGAGAGGAAGGCACUCAAACGACUGGGCCCCAGAAAGACGUGUGGGUCAGGAGAUCUUAAGAUAUGGAAGUGCCAUGGGAUUGUGGGAGCAUAGAGGCCGUGAAGGAUUCAAACAAUUUGAUUCCUGGGCUCCAUUAGAGCCUUCUGGCCAGCAAAGCUUGAGAUGCAGGAGAUCCUGCAGCUUUGAGGAGCCUUUUGGUUGAGAAAAUGUGAAGGGUGGUGGAGCCUGGACAGCAGUAUGCCUGGAUGCUGGAGGAACAUGGGCUUGUUGGAGAGCCUGGAAG
rnacentral:lncRNA from 1 species